UACAGAGGGUGCAAGCGUUGUUCGGAAUCACUGGGCUUAAAGGGUGCGUAGGCGGGCUGCCAAGUUUGGGGUGAAAUCCUCCGGCUCAACCGGGGAAGUGCCUCGAAUACUGGCGGUCUGGAGGGAGGUAGGGGCGUGCGGAACUAACGGUGGAGCGGUGAAAUGCGUUGAUAUCGUUAGGAACUCCGGUGGCGAAGGCGGCACGCUAGACCUCUUCUGACGCUGAGGCACGAAAGCCAGGGGAGCGAACGGG
rnacentral:rRNA from 1 species